GAUCUAUAUAGGCUAAGGGCAUUGAAGACAAAAGAGAAGAAAAUGUAUUCAAAGUUAAUUGUAUUUGGAAAGAAAAAAUGUUAUAUGUAAUAUGAAUGUGACGAAUGCUUGUAAUAGCAUAGUAUUUAUUUUUAUGAUUAUACAAUCUAUGUAUGAAUUCUAUUUCUGUUUGAAAUGUUUUGAAUUGUAUGGAUUGUGACACCUUAGACGAACAGGAAAAACUUUGUCCGUUCGGCGGGUCUGGCGCACGUGCCCGUGCGGGACUUCUUCCACCUAAUUGGGGAAAGGACAGCGGGGCGUGAUAGACUA
rnacentral:lncRNA from 1 species